rnacentral:rRNA from 1 species
CCUACGGGGGGCAGCAGUAAGGAAUCUUCCGCAAUGGGCGAAAGCCUGACGGAGCGACACCGCGUGGUGGAUGACGGCCUAUGGGUUGUAAACACCUUUUCUAGGGGAAGAAGAUCUGACGGUACCCUAGGAAUAAGCCCCGGCUAAUUACGUGCCAGCAGCCGCGGUAAUACGUAAGGGGCAAGCGUUACCCGGAAUUAUUGGGCGUAAAGCGUCCGCAGGCGGAAGUAUAAGUCAGUUAUUAAAUACCGGUGCUCAACAUCGGUGCUGUAACCGAAACUGUAUUUCUAGAGGAUGGGAGAGGUAUAUGGAAUUGUGCAAGUAGGGGUAAAAUCCGUAGAUAUGCACAGGAACACCAAAAGCGAAGGCAGUAUACUGGACCAUUCCUGACGCUCAGGGACGAAAGCGUGGGUAGCAAAAGGGAUUAGAUACCCCAGUAGUC